UCUGCCAAGUGUAAGGUUUUAUAUGGUUCCACCUGGUGCAUGCAUGAGGACAUGCAUGUUAUCAGGAUGGUCGAGUGUAAGGUUUAUUUAAAAAAUUAUCCUAAAUUUAAAGUAGCUUUACCGGGAAAAUGUAUUUUUUUUAUGAACUGGGCACACUGGUGGCCGCUCGGAGGAGCGGGGCAUCUAAACAAGAUGGCGGUUGGUUACCAAGCGCGGGAAGCGAUAUUUUAAAAGUUACUGUAUUGUAUUUCAAGAAAUAUAGUCAUUGUCAGCUAAAUAUUUGCGUUUAACUAUAACCUUUGUCGACACGUUCAGUGACAUAAAGGGGAUUUAUUUUUACACAACCAAUAUAUGUACGUAUAUAUAUAAAAUAUGUUUA